rnacentral:rRNA from 1 species
UGGGGAAUAUUGCACAAUGGGCGCAAGCCUGAUGCAGCCAUGCCGCGUGUGUGAAGAAGGCCUUCGGGUUGUAAAGCACUUUCAGCGAGGAGGAAGGUGGUGGACUUAAUACGUUCAUCAAUUGACGUUACUCGCAGAAGAAGCACCGGCUAACUCCGUGCCAGCAGCCGCGGUAAUACGGAGGGUGCAAGCGUUAAUCGGAAUUACUGGGCGUAAAGCGCACGCAGGCGGUUUGUUAAGUCAGAUGUGAAAUCCCCGGGCUCAACCUGGGAACUGCAUUUGAAACUGGCAAGCUAGAGUCUCGUAGAGGGGGGUAGAAUUCCAGGUGUAGCGGUGAAAUGCGUAGAGAUCUGGAGGAAUACCGGUGGCGAAGGCGGCCCCCCUGGACGAAGACUGACGCUCAGGUGCGAAAGCGUGGGGAGCAAACAGAUUAGAUACCCUGGUAGUCCACGCUGUAAACGAUGUCGAUUUUGGAGGUUGUGCCCCUUGAGGCGUGGNUUCCGGAGCUAACG